rnacentral:rRNA from 1 species
AGAGUUUGAUCAUGGCUCAGGAUGAACGCUGGCGGCGUGCUUAAGACAUGCAAGUCGAACGAAGAAUUUAGCAAUAAAUUCUUAGUGGCGAAUGGGUGCGUAACACGUAGGUGACCUACCCCGAAGUGUGGAAUAACAGUCCGAAAGGACUGCUAAUACCGCAUGUGGUCCCGGGUUUUAGAAAGCCGGGUCUAAAGCAGUAAUGCGCUUCGGGAGGGGCCUGCGGCCCAUCAGCUUGCUGGUAGGGUAAUGGCCUACCAAGGCUACGACGGGUAGGGGACCUGAGAGGGUGACCCCCCACAUUGGCACUGACACACGGGCCAAACUCCUACGGGAGGCAGCAGUCGGGAAUAUUGCACAAUGGACGAAAGUCUGAUGCAGCAACGCCGCGUGCGCGAUGAAGGCCUUCGGGUCGUAAAGCGCUUUUCGGGAGGAUGAGGAAGGACAGUACUCCCGAAUAAG